CACCCUUUUUCAGGUCCCUGGGCAGCCUGUCCCGGGGCAUUGCUGCUAUCCCUGGCAUCACUGCCUGUUCUUCGACAUAGCUGCCUGCCCCUGGCUGGGCCUGUUCCUAGGCUCCACUCCCUUCUUCAAGGUGCUGCUGCCCAACUCUGGAUCCUGCCAUCUGCUCCAGGGUCCUGCUGCUUACCCAGGAUCCCACUGCCAUCCCGUAGUCCUCUCCUGUGCAAACUAGAAGAUGAUGCCUCUUCCCUCUUCUUCGUCAGCUAUCAGCAACCAUCAAGACAGAGACACCUGAGCUUUCAGGGGACAGCGGCUCUUCAGUUCUUACUGGAAGAGAACUCAGACAUUGUGCCAGGAGACAAAUCCAAGUGACAGACGCUGUGCUCUCUCGGUUGAGCCUAGAGGCUCCAAGCCAUGACUCCACGCCCAGGAGAUGGGUUCUGCCCCCAAAGGUCUCUACAUCCCCGCGGGUAGUCUGUUCCCCGACCCCUGCCCUGUCCCCGGAUCAGUGGCC
rnacentral:lncRNA from 1 species